UACGAAGGGGGCGAGCGUUGUUUCGGAUUUACUGGGCGUAAAGGGCGCGCAGGCGGUCUUGAAAGUCAGGCGUGAAAGCCCCGGGCUUAACCUGGGAAUUGCGCUUUGAUACUCUGAGACUGGAGUACGGGAGAGGAGAGUGGAAUUCCCAGUGUAGAGGUGAAAUUCGUAGAUAUUGGGAAGAACACCAGUGGCGAAGGCGGCUCUCUGGACCGUAACUGACGCUGAGGCGCGAAAGCGUGGGGAGCAAACAGG
rnacentral:rRNA from 1 species